rnacentral:rRNA from 1 species
UACGUAGGUCCCGAACGUUGCGCGAAUUUACUGGGCGUAAAGGGUCCGUAGGCGGUUUAGCAAGUGGUUGGUGAAAUUUCACGGCUCAACCGUGAAACUGCCUUCCAAACUGCUAAACUUGAGGCAGGGAGAGGUCGGCGGAAUUCCCGGGGUAGCGGUGAAAUGCGUAGAUAUCGGGAGGAACACCAGUGGCGAAGGCGGCCGACUGGAACUGUCCUGACGCUGAGGGACGAAGGCUAGGGGAGCAAACCGG